GUGAUCGCUUUGGCAGCACAUGUACUAAAAUUGGAACGUUACAGAGAUCAGCAUGGCCCCUGCGCAAGGAUGAAACGCAAAUUCAUGAAGCCUUCCAUAAUUUU